AAUGGUUUUGUUGACUUUACUUCCUCGUCAACUUUGAUCAAGGAAUUUGUUGCCAAGUUGGUGCAACUCAAAGGUGAGUCACCAUCCCCCAAGGAUCAAAAAUUACUGGCGUUGGCAAUUAUUAAAAUUUUGCCCUGUUGGAGAUUUCCAUCAAGUGUUGAAGGAAUUGAUUUGUUAUUUGACGACGUAAAUCGCACCGGGCUUAUUCAGUCAAG